CAUGUACCUAAUGCAUGUCUCCCAAAAGUGGGAACCGGUUUUGGGAUAAAGACAUGCAGGAAAACAAAAACUUAAAGCGUGUCGUAUGACUACGAUAAAAUGCGACACACUUUAAAGUACACUCCGCUCCGGUUCUCGAAUUGCACCAUUUUCGUCG
rnacentral:ncRNA from 1 species